UUAGUCGAACCUAAGAGAUAGGAGAAAUCCAUUGCAAGGGCGGCGUUUCGGCGUUCCUUCGAUCAAAAGGGUAUCGGGUUAAUAUUCCUGAACCAGGACGUGGAUGAUAAGUGGUAACACAAGCUAAGCUGGGGACGGCUGCGAGGGCCCCGACGAGAGUUCUCUUUUCUUGUUAACGAGUUCACUGACCCCGGAAUCGGAUUGACCGGAGAU
rnacentral:rRNA from 1 species